rnacentral:rRNA from 1 species
UACGGAGGGGGAUAGCGUUGUUCGGAAUUACUGGGCGAAAAGGGCGCGUAGGCGGUCUUGUAAGUCAGAUGUGAAAGCCCCGGGCUCAACCCGCGAAUAGCAUUUGAUACUGCGAGGCUUGAGUCCGGGAGAGGAUGGCGGAAUUACCAGCGUAGAGGUGAAAUUCGUAGAUAUUGGGAAGAACACCGGUGGCGAAGGCGGCCAUCUGGACCGGUACUGACGCUGAGGCGCAAAAGCGUGGGGAGCAAACAGG